AUCUAUGGCCACACCACCCUGGACACACCCAAUCUUGUCGGAUCUUGGAAGUUAAGCAGGGUCAGACCUGGUUAGCACUUGGAUGGGAAACCGCCUGGGAGUGCUGGAUGCUGUAGGCU
rnacentral:rRNA from 1 species